rnacentral:misc_RNA from 1 species
AGUACUUCCUGUUCUCGGCUAACCCUGGCGCUGGGCCGGGGGCUGGAGAGUGACCGUGGUCUGAGUGACCUGGGGCGGCUGCGUGGGCCGGGGUGGGCCUCAAAGCCGGGCACCAGACGGGAGGGGCGGCGCUCGGGCCGCGCGCUGCCCGCGCCGGGUCCUGGCGGGCGGCGAGGCUGGGGCUGACUCCUGCCUCAGGAUGCCGGGGGAGGAAGAGGAGCGGGCCUUCCUGGUGGCCCGCGAGGAGCUGGCGAGCGCCCUGAGGAGGGAUUCCGGGCAGGCGUUUUCCCUGGAGCAGCUCCGGCCGCUACUAGCCAGCUCUCUGCCGCUAGCCGCCCGCUACCUGCAGCUGGACGCCGCACGCCUUGUCCGCUGCAACGCUCAUGGGGAGCCCCGAAACUACCUCAACACCCUGUCCACGGCUCUGAACAUCCUGGAGAAAUACGGCCGCAACCUUCUCAGCCCUCAGCGGCCUCGGGGGGCCGAGAUGUGCUGCGAUUAUAUGGCUACACAGAGGAGCAACCAGAUGGGUUGAGCUUCCCCGAAGGGCAGGA